ensembl:snRNA U4 U4 spliceosomal RNA
UGCUUUGAGCAGUGGCAGCAUCAUAGCCAAUGAAGUUUAUCCAAAGUGCGAUAACUGCUAAUUGAAAACUUUUUUCCUUGGGAAUAAUAUUUAAAUGUUGACACUCAAUGAUAUUCAACAUUGCAGAAUGUUACAUAUAAC